GCCUGGGUGGCUCAGUCGGUUGAGCGUCCGACUUCGGCUCAGGUCAGGAUCUCACAGUCUGUGGGUUCGAGCCCCGCAUCGGGCU
rfam:Felis catus isolate Cinnamon breed Abyssinian chromosome B1, whole genome shotgun sequence.